UACGUAGGAGACGAGCGUUGUCCGGAAUUACUGGGCGUAAAGCGCGUGUAGGCGGGUCCGCAAGUCUGCUGUGAAAGCUCCUGGCUUAACCGGGAGUGGUCGGUGGAAACUGCGAACCUGGAGGACGGUAGAGGUAGGUAGAAUUCCCGGUGUAGUGGUGAAAUGCGUAGAGAUCGGGAGGAAUACCUGUGGCGAAGGCGGCCUACUGGGCCGGACCUGACGCUGAGACGCGAAGGCGUGGGGGAGCAAACAGG
rnacentral:rRNA from 1 species